UUCAAUCGCCACAUCAGCAGG
rnacentral:misc_RNA from 1 species